UACAACUCCUCGAUUGUCAGAACUUUUCUCUACAUAAAAAGUGAUGAGAAUGAUCUAAGCCGCCCCAUUCUAGCAGGAAAUCUCCAUCCUUCUAUCCAGUGACAAUAGCAAUCCGGGGAAUUCUGAAGUUUUCCAGAUUAACUACCUACACAAUUGAAAAGGCUCUGCAAGGGGGAGGGGAGACAGGAGGGUGAAGGCCCUCCGCUCUUCACCUGAGUCUUUUGAAACAAUACUGCCAGGCCCGCAGGACCCAGGUCUCUAUGAAGCAGCCCUCACACCUCGGAAGAAUAAGUGAAAUCAUUCCGAGUUGGACAUUCUCACCCACGCCUAACCCAGUAAAGCAGUGUUCACCACGAAAACUUCUCACAUAUUAGAAUCGCCUGGGGAACUGCUGAAACUCUCGACGCCCAGACCAGCGUUCACGUCGAGUAACCACAGUCUCUGGGGGCAGGACCCAGGCAUCGGUACAUCGCAGAACUCCCGCAUGAGAUUCCAGCGCACAGUCACGUUUACAAACCGGUGUUCUCCGAGUCCGCUUCCCUUCAUCCUGUACACCUGGCCGGCUGCACUUCCCUCUCUCAAAGCCCACCAUCUCCUCUCCCAGCACCCUGUGCCAAGGGGCAACAUGUAAUUUAUAUGCCUUCUAAAUGUCCUUAUAACAGAACCCAUACAAGACCGCUCAAGUAGAGUGACUGGGUGAGUGAGUGAGUGAGUGUGUGUGAGUG